rnacentral:rRNA from 1 species
GACGAACGCUGGCGGCAUGCCUAACACAUGCAAGUCGAGCGAGCGGCGGACGGGUGAGUAACGUAUGGGGAUUCCCCGAUAGAGGGGGAUAACUACUGGAAACGGUGGCUAAUACCGCAUACUAUCGGAUAACCCAUAUGGGAUUAGCUAGUUGGUGGGGUAAAGGCUCACCUAGGCGACGAUCCCUAGCUGGUCUGAGAGGAUGAUCGGCCACACUGGGACUGAGACACGGCCCAGACUCCUACGGAGGCAGCAGUGGGGAAUAUUGCACAAUGGGCGCAAGCCUGAUGCAGCCAUGCCGCGUGUAUGAAGAAGGCCUUAGGGUUGUAAAGUACUGUCAGCAGGGAAGCGGUACCCGAAGAAGAAGCACCGGCUAACUACGUGCCAGCAGCCGCGGUAAUAC